AGGUUCAAUGGUGCGUGUUUUUCUAAUGGCCGCCUUCCCACUGGAGGUUUUGAUCCACAGCAGUUUAAAAGGUGGACAGAGCAAAACGGACAUCGGCGCAGAGCGAAGAACUGCCCUUGAUAAGGACACUAUGACAGCCAUAUACAGCAUUUUGCAGUCCCUUCGUCAUCCAUGGUCUUCCUGUAUACUUAUCUUUCCUGUUGACUUC